rnacentral:snRNA from 1 species
GUUCUUGCUUCGGCAGCACAUAUAUUAAAAUUGGAACGAUACAGAGAUUAGCAUGGCCUCUUCGCAAGGAUGACACGCAAAUUCUUGAAGCGUUCCAUAUUAAA